ACGGGUGAGUAAUACAUCGGAACGUGCCCUGUAGUGGGGGAUAACUAGUCGAAAGAUUAGCUAAUACCGCAUACGACCUGAGGGUGAAAGUGGGGGACCGCAAGGCCUCAUGCUAUAGGAGCGGCCGAUGUCUGAUUAGCUAGUUGGUGAGGUAAAGGCUCACCAAGGCGACGAUCAGUAGCUGGUCUGAGAGGACGAUCAGCCACACUGGGACUGAGACACGGCCCAGACUCCUACGGGAGGCAGCAGUGGGGAAUUUUGGACAAUGGGGGCAACCCUGAUCCAGCAAUGCCGCGUGUGUGAAGAAGGCCUUCGGGUUGUAAAGCACUUUUGUCCGGAAAGAAAUCGCACUUACUAAUAUUAGGUGUGGAUGACGGUACCGGAAGAAUAAGGACCGGCUAACUACGUGCCAGCAGCCGCGGUAAUACGUAGGGUCCAAGCGUUAAUCGGAAUUACUGGGCGUAAAGCGUGCGCAGGCGGUUGUGCAAGACCGAUGUGAAAUCCCCGGGCUUAACCUGGGAAUUGCAUUGGUGACUGCACGGCUAGAGUGUGUCAGAGGGGGGGUAGAAUUCCAC
rnacentral:rRNA from 1 species